rnacentral:misc_RNA from 1 species
AGCAGCCGCGGUAAUUCCAGCUCCAAUAGCGUAUAUUAAAGUUGUUGCAGUUAAAAAGCUCGUAGUUGAAUUUCGGGAUUGACGUGAUGGUCGUGCCUUACGGGGUAUGAACUGUUGCUGUUGAUUUCUCACCUUCUGGAGAAACUUGAUGUCCUUAAUUGGGUGUCUUGCGGAUCCAGGACCUUUACCUUGAAAAAAUUAGAGUGUUUAAAGCAGGCAUUUUGCUCGAAUACAUUAGCAUGGAAUAAUAGAAUAGGACGGCAUGGUUCUAUUUUGUUGGUUUCUAGGAUCACCGUAAUGAUUAAUAGGGAUAGUUGGGGGCAUUAGUAUUCAAUUGUCAGAGGUGAAAUUCUUGGAUUUAUUGAAGACUAACUACUGCGAAAGCAUUUGCCAAGGAUGUUUUCAUUAAUCAAGAACGAAAGUUAGGGGAUCGAAGACGAUCAGAUACCGUCGUAGUCUUAACCAUAAACUAUGACCGACUAAGGAAUCAGACGAUGUUAAUUUUUUAAUGUACUCGUUU